UCUGGGGAGUUCCCAUCAUGAGCGGCGGGAACGGGGGAACCAACCAUGACUCCGAUCACGGAGUCUCCGGGGUGAAGCCCGCAUCUCGCGGGCCGGGCUUCUCCAGCCCGAACCCGACAGCUCACCCCGUCGGCAGCAAUAGGAGACGCA
rnacentral:sRNA from 2 species